CCAUCAUGCCCCAGCUAUCUAUUUUUCGUCGCCUUACAAUCUAACAAUCUACUCGAACCAUUCUAACAUUACGAUCAACAAAUACACUAAUCAGAAUUUAGCCAAAGGACAUUGAGAUAAAUUAAUAUCCAACGUCAAAACAAUAUAACAAUGUAAGUUUCAGAUGUAAAAAAUCCUGAAUGUGCUGGAAAAUUGGUGCCCCACCAUAAGUAAACACAAUAUUUACCCCAGUUUGAUACGAGAACUUCUUUGCUUGCUCAUGUAUCUAGAGAUUUACAGCACAAACUCCAUCAAACAAAUCAAAAUUGAAAUCAUUAACAUUCUAGUGAAAUGUCAUCCAUCCUACAAAAAAUUACAAUGGAAAUGAAAUCUCCAAAUAUAAUAAAAAUCAUUACAUCAUUACAAGAAUCAUAAUCGAUAGACAGUCCAAAAAGAAAAUGAAAUGAGAAAAGAUAGCCCAUGGAAUCGAUCAUUAUCCUAGUGUCGAACUAGAUAGCAAAUCUGUAACCAUUUUUUCUAUAAAUGUAAAGAAACAUCAAAGUAAAAGAACUCUCAGGAUCCAAAAAAACAAAAUCAACAAUUUACCCACCGAAAAAAAAAUAUUAGGCAAAAAACCAGAUUUACAACGUGAAGAAAUAAAAGUAUAGUGAUUACUACGCA
rnacentral:lncRNA from 1 species